GGUUGAUCCUGCCAGUAGUCAUAUGCUUGUCCUAAAGAUUAUGCCAUGCAUGUCUAAGUAUAUACCUUUAUACGGUGAAACUGCGAAUGGCUCAUUAUAUCAGUUAUAAUUUACUUGAUGAUUUCUUUACUACAUGGAUAACCGUGGUAAUUCUAGAGCUAAUACAUGCUAAAAACCUGACUUCGGAAGGGUUGUAUUUAUUAGAUAAAAACCAAUGCUAGCAAUAGCUUUUGGUGAGUCAUGAUAACUGCGCGGAUCGCAUGGCCUUGAGCCGGCGACGCUUCAUUCAAAUU
rnacentral:rRNA from 1 species